CCGCCGCCUCCCGUGCAAUUAUGAUGAUCUCGCUCACAACAUUAAAGCCACAGUGAUGAAAAUUGGCGCCGCAGCACGGAGUCCCCCAACAUAUUGAGAUGAAUUCAUCACGGGCUUCAUGCUCGUUGGAGAUGUCAAACUAUGUCUCAGCGUUAUCGAGUGCCUCGCUAAUCAAGUACCUGCCAUAAGACUCCCAAGACUGAUUCUGUUUAAAAUGCAGCGACCACCAAGACAGAUGAUUCACUCAAUGACUCAUCGUAGUUCCACAGGACUCUCAAAGAAAGACAUGUGGUUGUCGAGCUUUGUUUUGAUCUUUGCUCGUCGAGAACAUCUCCAACACAAAGAUAUAGAACCACUCUUCGUAAACUGUCUUCUUUUGUUCCGCAGACAGAUUCUUUAAAGUUCAACCUCGGGUCAAACAGACAGUGAGGUAUGCUGGGAAUUUAAAACCUCUCGAUUAUUUUGACGUUGAGGAUCGUUCCGACUCUUAUCUUUAUCUCUGAAAAAACUUGAAAACACACGAUAGCCCCGUCAAGGACUCCGCCUGUCUGACUGCAGUCCAUAAAAGACAAGAUUGCAGGAAUAGUUUGCCGUGCCGUCGACGUCUUCAGAAGUUAUUGCUCAUAAAAAUAAAAAAAAAGACAAAGUUGUGAGUGGCUGUCAUGCGAUGUGCAGCAGGAGUAGCGUUGGAGUUUGACAGACAAAGAAGCGGGGAGUGUAAGUAGCAUGAAGACGGGGAUCAUCAAUCAGCAGACAAGCUCUGCUCGUUACUAUAAAUCACUGCUGAGCCAGAGGGCGUCAUCUGUCCCCGUCCUCACACAAUCAGAGGCAGCGAGCGGCGUUAUGACUUUUCACAGAUGGGAAAGAAAAAAACAAUAUGUACCACUUUGUUUUGUUUAUUUGCUUCAUCAACAAUCAUACACAUUCGUCGGUCUCCCAGCACGUAAACACAGGACAUGAACACCAGUUUGCCUGUCCAUUGUCAUCAGCAAACAAGCCUGUGGAUGUUUAUCCUGCAUGAGGAAACAUAUUCAGUAGCACAGUCAAAUCCAAAACAAAGAAAAAUGCUUCAUUAAAAAGAACGAGCCGACGUCAGUGCAUUUCUGUACCACGUCUCGUCCUGCAGGUUCUCUAUGGUCACAUUGGUGAGGGAGUGCUCAGCAGGUCAGAGUGCUCAGCAGGUCAGAGUGCACAGCAGGUCGGAGUGCUCAG